GAACGCCGUGUGCUAUGAAAGUAGCAUGCACGGUGUGGGGCAGGGGAAAAUCAAGAGAUAACAUCAAAUGAUUACCUAUUGCCAU
rnacentral:ncRNA from 1 species